rnacentral:lncRNA from 1 species
GCGGUAACGAGGCGUCCAGGAAACUCCUCCUUCUCCUUGCGGUCCCCCGGAAUUGGGCCAAUAUGGAGAGGAGGUGCUAGGGGCAGGCGCCCUUGGUUGCUAGGUUGCGUGAAAAAUAUCCUGAGAAGGGAGAAGGCAAGACUCACAGAGGUCCAGUGCUUACUCAACUAAUGAGGCAGAACCUGCUGCAGAGCUGUCAUGCUGUUGCCUGGUGGAUCUGUCUGAAAGACAUGGACCAUGAGUACAUAUCCACGUGGGCUUCAGUCCCUCGCUACAGGGGAUUACUGAUACCGUCUUGGAUGGCUCAGCGGAGUGCUGUCUCACAUUGCUUCACUCUUCUGCUCUCUCCCACGUGGU